UACAGAGGGGGCUAGCGUUGCUCGGAAUCACUGGGCGUAAAGCGCACGUAGGCGGAUUGUUAAGUCAGGGGUGAAAUCCUGGAGCUCAACUCCAGAACUGCCUUUGAUACUGGCGAUCUCGAGUCCGGGAGAGGUGAGUGGAACUGCGAGUGUAGAGGUGAAAUUCGUAGAUAUUCGCAAGAACACCAGUGGCGAAGGCGGCUCACUGGCCCGGUACUGACGCUGAGGUGCGAAAGCGUGGGGAGCAAACAGG
rnacentral:rRNA from 1 species